AACGAACGCUGGCGGCAUGCCUAACACAUGCAAGUCGAACGAGACCUUCGGGUCUAGUGGCGCACGGGUGCGUAACGCGUGGGAACCUGCCCUUAGGUUCGGAAUAACUCCCCGAAAGGGGUGCUAAUACCGGCUAAUGUCUUCGGACCAAAGAUUUAUCGCCUUUGGAUGGGCCCGCGUUGGAUUAGCUAGUUGGUAGGGUAAAAGCCUACCAAGGCGACGAUCCAUAGCUGGUCUGAGAGGAUGAUCAGCCACACUGGGACUGAGACACGGCCCAGACUCCUACGGGAGGCAGCAGUGGGGAAUAUUGGACAGUGGGCGAAAGCCUGAUCCAGCAAUGCCGCGUGAGUGAUGAAGGCCUUAGGGUUGUAAAGCUCUUUUACCCGGGAUGAUAAUGACAGUACCGGGAGAAUAAGCUCCGGCUAACUACGUG
rnacentral:rRNA from 1 species